rfam:Schistosoma mansoni, Puerto Rico, WGS project CABG01000000 data, contig: 0105
AGUUUUCUGUAGCCGUGCUGAGAUUUUGUCACACACCAGACCACAAUGGCUGCUGAAACUUCCAAGAUAAGUGAAGCU